rnacentral:rRNA from 1 species
UCUACGGGAGGCAGCAGUCGGGAAUUUUGGGCAAUGGGCGAAAGCCUGACCCAGCAACGCCGCGUGAAGGAUGAAGUUCUUCGGAAUGUAAACUUCGAAAGAAUGGGAAGAAUAAAUGACGGUACCAUUUAUAAGCUCCGGCUAACUACGUGCCAGCAGCCGCGGUAAUACGUAGGGAGCAAGCGUUGUUCGGAUUUACUGGGCGUAAAGGGCGCGUAGGCGGCAGAUCAAGUCAGCUGUGAAAUCUCCGAGCUUAACUCGGAACGGUCAGCUGAUACUGUUUUGCUAGAGUGCAGAAGGGGCAAUCGGAAUUCUCGGUGUAGCGGUGAAAUGCGUAGAUAUCGAGAGGAACACCUGAGGUGAAGACGGGUUGCUGGGCUGACACUGACGCUGAGGCGCGAAAGCCAGGGUAGCAAACGGGAUUAGAUACCCCGGUAGUCCUGGCCCUAAACGAUGAAUACUUGGUGUCUGGAGUUAUUAUUGCUCCGGGUGCCGUCGCUAACGUUUUAAGUAUUCCGCCUGGGGAGUACGCACGCAAGUGUGAAACUCAAAUGAAUUGACGGAAUCGAAUU